UAAACACGCCGACGUUUCAUAGCAGGCUGAGAUUGUGCGACUGCUGCGAUCGAUCGCGAGAGUCAGAAACACGAGCGAUGUAUACCUAUAUGCAGCGUAGAGACAAGACUCCUUGUCGACACCAUUAUGUUACAAAUGAAAGAAUAUUUUCGAGCAAUAGUUUCGUUCCUUUCAACAGGAGGUGAAACGGAAAUCCAUUGAACAGAUCGAUAAACAAAGUUUUUAAAAUAUGAAACUUUGUGGUAGACGGUGCUGCCACGAGU